rnacentral:rRNA from 1 species
CCAGACUCCUACGGGAGGCAGCAGUGGGGAAUAUUGCACAAUGGGGGGAACCCUGAUGCAGCAAUGCCGCGUGAAGGAUGAAGGUUUUCGGAUUGUAAACUUCUUUUGUCAGGGACGAAGCAAGUGACGGUACCUGACGAAUAAGCCACGGCUAACUACGUGCCAGCAGCCGCGGUAAUACGUAGGUGGCAAGCGUUAUCCGGAUUUACUGGGUGUAAAGGGCGUGUAGGCGGGGAAGCAAGUCAGAUGUGAAAACCACGGGCUCAACCUGUGGCCUGCAUUUGAAACUGUUUUUCUUGAGUGCUGGAGAGGCAAUCGGAAUUCCGUGUGUAGCGGUGAAAUGCGUAGAUAUACGGAGGAACACCAGUGGCGAAGGCGGAUUGCUGGACAGUAACUGACGCUGAGGCGCGAAAGCGUGGGGAGCAAACAGGAUUAGAUACCCGGGUAU